GAAUCCCGUCUUUGAUACGGACUACCAGGGCUUUGUGAUGCGCUCUCGAAGAGUCGAGUUGUUUGGGAAUGCAGCUCAAAAUGGGUGGUAAAUUCCAUCUAAAGCUAAAUAUUGGCGAGAGACCGAUAGCGAACAAGUACCGUGAGGGAAAGAUGAAAAGAACUUUGGAAAGAGAGUUAAACAGUACGUGAAAUUGCUGAAAGGGAAACGCUUGAAGUCAGUCGCGUUGACUAGAACUCAGCUUCACUUUUGUGGGGUGUACUUUUUAGUUGACGGGUCAGCAUCAAUUCUGACUGCUGGAAAAAGGCUUAGGGAAUGUGGCAGCUCCGGCUGUGUUAUAGCCCUUUGUCACAUACAGCUGUUGGGAUUGAGGAACUCAGCACGCCGCAAGGCCGGGUUUCGACCACGUUCGUGCUUAGGAUGCUGGCAUAAUGGCUUUAAGCGACCCGUCUUGAAACACGGACCAAGGAGUCUAACAUGCCUGCGAGUGUUUGGGUGGUAAACCCGAGCGCGUAAUGAAAGUGAAAGUUGAGAUCCCUGUCGUGGGGAGCAUCGACGCCCGGACCUGACCUUUUGUGACGGAUCCGCGGUAGAGCAUGUAUGUUGGGACCCGAAAGAUGGUGAACUAUGCCUGAAUAGGGUGAAGCCAGAGGAAACUCUGGUGGAGGCUCGUAGCGAUUCUGACGUGCAAAUCGAUCGUCAAAUUUGGGUAUAGGGGCGAAAGACUAAUCGAACCAUCUAGUAGCUGGUUCCUGCC
rnacentral:rRNA from 1 species